GGAAGAGAGAAAAAAGAGAGAGAGAGAGAGAGAGGAAGCAGCGGUUGUCCGCCGUCGUUCAUGGCGUGUCCAGCGGCACCAAGGGUGGCGAUCGACUUGCCGAAGAGUGGGCUUUCUAUUUAGAGCAGCAACGAUGCAAAUGGUGGCAGGAGUUGGAAGUUCGUAGUUGAGAGAGAAAAUGGGUGGCAGCCAGCAUUUUCUAGUUUUUCCUGCGAGCUUCGGUGAGCUUUGGCUAAUCGGAGGAAAUAUCCGAACUCUCCUCGGCUCAAGCUUUCCAAUGGCACCAGUUUCGUGGCGAUCAGACUCCGUUUGAAAAUCCACCGCCGAAAUUGUCCGUAAAUCUCUCCGGAUGAUCGAGGGUCGGAUCGAAAGAUCGGAAGCUGGGAUCGUCAUCAGCGCGUCAUCUCGAGUCUGUUGGUGCAUUCGGAUCGUCGAUCAGACUCCGACGGCUGGAGGCGAGUCAACCAAACGAUCAAGCGUCUCGAUAAUCCGUCAGUUCGGCUCGCUUCACCCGAGACAUCGGAGCAGAGCUAGGAGGUCGUCAAAUCUAUCAUGCUAUUUGAUGAGUGCACCGGUAUAAAUCUGAGACUGAUAGCAAAAGGGUAAAAGGGUAAAUUUAGGACUAGCCCUGAUCAAGCAUUGCUCUCUGGGCUUAGUAGAGUGUGUUUGCCGAAGUAAAGGUACCUGGUCGAGCAUUGCUCUAUGGACGCCGACUUAUUUAGAAACUUAAGUGACCGGACUGGAUUUAAGGACCCUGGUCGAGCUUUGCUCUCUCGGCGCCAGUCCUGUUAAAAUGAGAGAGUCGAGAUGUUAGUGUUGAGAUUAUGAUUCUGCUGAGGUACUCC